AUUGAACGCUAGCGGGAUGCCUUACCCAUUCAAGUCGAACGGAGUGGCGAACGGGUGAGUAAUGUAUCGGAACGUGCCCAGUAGCGGGGGAUAACUAAGCGAAAGCGUAGCUAAUACCGCAUACUAUUGGAGCGGCCGAUAUCGGAUUUGCUAGUUGGGGGGGUAACGGCUCACCAAGGCGACGAUCCGUAGCUGGUUUGAGCGGACGACCAGCCAACCUGGGACUGGGACACGGCCCAGACUCCUACGGUAGGCAGCAGUGGGGAAUUUUGGACGAUGGGGGAAACCCUGAGCCAGCCAGCCCGCGUGUGAGAUGAAGGCCUUCGGGUUGUAAAGCACUUUUGGCAGGAAAGCGGUACCUGCAGAAUAAGCACCGGCUAACUACGUGCCAGCAGCCGCGGUAAUAC
rnacentral:rRNA from 1 species